AUCGACAUUCUCGGGCCAAUCACAUAUUCUCUUGUGAGGGUUGUAGAGAAGGUUGCCGGGACAGUUCAUUGCAACGGGUUUGCCAUUGAAGCAUUUGUAGAAUUGGUUGCAGUUUUCGUGUGCGAUUAAGACUCCGUCAGAACCAUCCUGACCGCAAAUCGAAGGUGCUUCGCCUGGAUUGCAGUUACAAGUUCCAUCAUUGUCAUCCUCGCCGUCAUCACCACCUUCAUCACCACCAUCACCGCCGGCGUCACCUCCACCGUUAUCAUUAUCGUUGUCAUUUUCAUCACCUUCUGGAAUUACUCUGUCUCCACAAUCGACAUUCUCGGGCCAAUCACAUAUUCUCUGGUGAGGGUUGUAGAGAAGGUUGCCGGGACAGUUCAUUGCAACGGGUUUGCCAUU